rnacentral:rRNA from 1 species
UACAGAGGUCCCGAGCGUUGUUCGGAUUCACUGGGCGUAAAGGGUGCGUAGGUGGCUGGGAAAGUUUGAUGUGAAAGCUCAGGGCUUAACCCUGAAAUGGCAUUGAAUACUGCCUGGCUGGAGGUUGGAGGGGGACUGGAAUUCUUGGUGUAGCAGUGAAAUGCGUAGAUAAUCAAGAGGAACACCGGUGGCGAAGGCGGGUCACUGGGCCGCAACUGACGCUGAGGAGCGAAAGCAUGGGGAGC